UACGAAGGGGGCUAGCGUUGCUCGGAAUUACUGGGCGUAAAGCGCACGUAGGCGGCUUUCUAAGUCGGAGGUGAAAUCCUGGAGCUCAACUCCAGAACUGCCUUCGAUACUGGAGAGCUUGAGUCCGGGAGAGGUGAGUGGAACUGCGAGUGUAGAGGUGAAAUUCGUAGAUAUUCGCAAGAACACCAGUGGCGAAGGCGGCUCACUGGCCCGGUACUGACGCUGAGGUGCGAAGGCGUGGGGAGCAAACAGG
rnacentral:rRNA from 1 species